GGCGCUAUAGUGUAGUGGUUAUCACUCAGGAUUCUGAUCUACUGGAUUUUCCUGAAACCCAGGUUCGAGCCCUGGUAGCGCCU